rnacentral:rRNA from 1 species
GACGAACGCUGGCGGCGUGCCUAAUACAUGCGAGUAGAACGCUGAAGGAGGAGCUUGCUUCUCUGGAUGAGUUGCGAACGGGUGAGUAACGCGUAGGUAACCUGCCUGGUAGCGGGGGAUAACUAUUGGAAACGAUAGCUAAUACCGCAUAAGAGUAGAUGUUGCAUGACAUUUGCUUAAAAGGUGCAAUUGCAUCACUACCAGAUGGACCUGCGUUGUAUUAGCUAGUUGGUGGGGUAACGGCUCACCAAGGCGACGGUACAUAGCCGACCUGGGAGGGUGAUCGGCCACACUGGGACUGAGACACGGCCCCGACUCCUACGGGAGGCAGCAGUAGGGAAUCUUCGGCGAUGGUCGGAAGUCUGACCGAGCAGCGCCGCAUGAGUGAAGAAGGUUUUCGGAUCGUAAAGCUCUAUUGUAAGAGAAGAACGAGUGUGAGAGUGGAAAGUUCACACUGUGACGGUAUCUUACCAGAAAGGGACGGCUAACUACGUG